rnacentral:rRNA from 1 species
GAUGAACGCUGGCGGCGUGCCUAAUACAUGCAAGUCGAGCGAACGGACGAGAAGCUUGCUUCUCUGAUGUUAGCGGCGGACGUGUGAGUAACACGUGGAUAACCUACCUAUAAGACUGGGAUAACUUCGGGAAACCGGAGCUAAUACCGUAUAAUAUUUUGAACCGCAUGGUUCAAAAGUGAAAGACGGUCUUGCUGUCACUUAUAGAUGGAUCCGCGCUGCAUUAGCUAGUUGGUAAGGUAACGGCUUACCAAGGCAACGAUGCAUAGCCGACCUGAGAGGGUGAUCGGCCACACUGGAACUGAGACACGGUCCAGACUCCUACGGGAGGCAGCAGUAGGGAAUGUUCCGCAAUGGGCGAAAGCCUGACGGAGCAACGCCGAGUGAGUGAUGAAGGUCUUCGGAUCGUAAAACUCUGUUAUUAGGGAAGAACAUAUGUGUAAGUAACUGUGCACAUCUUGACGGUACCUAAUCAGAAAGCCACGGCUAACUACGUG